CCAUAGCAUGAUGGCAUGUUAUUUCUCACUUUUCUCCAAUUAUAUCAAUUUUGUGUUUAAAAUUAUUUUUAAAGUAUAUUAUCCCUAUAUCUACAAUUUUCUUCCCAUAUGAACAUCUAGAAUCUUUUUUGCAUGUACGAAAUAUGUGAUUCUUACUAAUAUUAGAGAUAUAGAUUGUGAACGGAGUUUUCCAUACGGCCAUAAAGAAGGUGGAAUUAAUUAAUAUAGCUUGUGUACAGAUUUUUCCAUUUUCUUACCAACUAGGAUCCAGGGUGUCAACAACUCAAAAUAGAUGCAUAAGUG
rnacentral:lncRNA from 1 species